UUCUGGCCUCUGGACUGUUCAGGCAUCGGCAGCCAGGGAGUGGCCACAGAGAAGUGCUUGGAGUCUGGGGCAGUUUGGCGUUGCCCCGAGCGCUUUUCUAACAGCUAUGAGAAGCUCAGAACAAAAGGAAUAGCCCGGGGUGGCUGCCUGCCUAAAGGAGAUCUCAGAGCGCUGCAAAUGCCGAAACAAAACUUCACCAAGCAAAGCUCCCCUGCAGCCCACGAAGAGAAAUAACUUUUAAAAUUAAUGCUUUGAAAAAGCCAACCUAAUGCAUCUCAAUUAUCAGCAAAGAAACUGCUUGGGAAGGAUCCCUCCAGUAUACAAGAGGUCUGCACCAACCUAACUUUGUGAACAGAUGGAGCAUGUUGCAAGUCCUCCCAUGAAGACCUUGGCUGAGCAUCGGAGGUCCGCCUCCCUUGCACAUCUGGAUAGUCGGGCACAGCAUUGUCCAUUGGGCCAGCACGAGGGUGGAGGAGUCUGGAAUUGG